rnacentral:rRNA from 1 species
UCAGAUGCUGCAGACCCGAAACGAAGUGAUCUAUCCAUGAGCAAGUUGAAGCUAGUGUAAGAACUAGUGGAGGACUGAACCCAUAGGCGUUGAAAAGCCCCGGGAUGACUUGUGGAUAGGGGUGAAAGGCCAAUCAAACUUCGUGAUAGCUGGUUCUCUCCGAAAUAUAUUUAGGUAUAGCGUUGUGUCGUAAUAUAAGGGGGUAGAGCACUGAAUGGGCUAGGGCAUACACCAAUGUACCAAACCCUAUCAAACUCCGAAUACCUUAUAUGUAAUCACAGCAGUCAGGCGGCGAGUGAUAAAAUCCGUCGUCAAGAGGGAAACAACCCAGACUACCAGCUAAGGUCCCUAAAUCUUACUUAAGUGGAAAACGAUGUGAAGUUACUUAAACAACCAGGAGGUUGGCUUAGAAGCAGCCAUCCUUUAAAGAAAGCGUAAUAGCUCACUGGUCUAGUGAUUUUGCGCGGAAAAUAUAACGGGGCUAAAGUAAGUACCGAAGCUGUAGACUUGCGCACAACUUAGAUUAUUUAAGUUUAGAAUAUGAGAAACUAAGUUAUAUGUUUAGUUAUAUUUUUACUGAUUUUUAUAGAGUAAAGAUAGAAAUAAAACUUAGUAAAAUCAGUAAAAAUAUUCUUAGACUAAAGUUAAGUAGUUUAAGUUGUGUGCAAGUGGUAGGAGAGCGUUCUAUUUGCGUCGAAGGUAUACCGGUAAGGAGUGCUGGAGCGAAUAGAAGUGAGCAUGCAGGCAUGAGUAGCGAUAAUUAAUGUGAGAAUCAUUAACGCCGUAAACCCAAGGUUUCCUACGCGAUGCUCGUCAUCGUAGGGUUAGUCGGGUCCUAAGUCGAGUCCGAAAGGGGUAGACGAUGGCAAAUUGGUUAAUAUUCCAAUACCAACAUUAGUGUGCGAUGGAAGGACGCUUAGGGCUAAGGGGGCUAGCGGAUGGAAGUGCUAGUCUAAGGUCGUAGGAGGUUAUACAGGCAAAUCCGUAUAACAAUACUCCGAGAACUGAAAGGCUUUUUGAAGUCUUCGGAUGGAUAGAAGAACCCCUGAUGCCGUCGAGCCAAGAAAAGUUUCUAAGUUUAGCUAAUGUUGCCCGUACCGUAAACCGACACAGGUGGGUGGGAUGAGUAUUCUAAGGCGCGUGGAAGAACUCUCUUUAAGGAACUCUGCAAAAUAGCACCGUAUCUUCGGUAUAAGGUGUGGUUCGCUUCGUAUUAGGAUUUACUCCGAAAGCGAAGAAACUUACAACAAAGAGUCCCUCCCGACUGUUUACCAAAAACACAGCACUCUGCUAACUCGUAAGAGGAUGUAUAGGGUGUGACGCCUGCCCGGUGCUCGAAGGUUAAUUGAUGGGGUUAGCAUUAGCGAAGCUCUUGAUCGAAGCCCGAGUAAACGGCGGCCGUAACUAUAACGGUCCUAAGGUAGCGAAAUUCCUUGUCGGUUAAAUACCGACCUGCAUGAAUGGCGUAACGAGAUGGGAGCUGUCUCAAAGAGGGAUCCAGUGAAAUUGUAGUGGAGGUGAAAAUUCCUCCUACCCGCGGCAAGACGGAAAGACCCCGUGGACCUUUACUACAGCUUGACACUGCUAUUUGGAUAAGAAUGUGCAGGAUAGGUGGGAGGCUUUGAGUAUAUGACGCCAGUUGUAUAUGAGCCAUUGUUGAGAUACCACUCUUUCUUAUUUGGGUAGCUAACCAGCUUGAGUUAUCCUCAAGUGGGACAAUGUCUGGUGGGUAGUUUGACUGGGGCGGUCGCCUCCCAAAUAAUAACGGAGGCUUACAAAGGUUGGCUCAGAACGGUUGGAAAUCGUUCGUAGAGUAUAAAGGUAUAAGCCAGCUUAACUGCAAGACAUACAAGUCAAGCAGAGACGAAAGUCGGUCUUAGUGAUCCGGUGGUUCUGUGUGGAAGGGCCAUCGCUCAAAGGAUAAAAGGUACCCCGGGGAUAACAGGCUGAUCUCCCCCAAGAGCUCACAUCGACGGGGAGGUUUGGCACCUCGAUGUCGGCUCAUCGCAUCCUGGGGCUGGAGCAGGUCCCAAGGGUAUGGCUGUUCGCCAUUUAAAGCGGUACGCGAGCUGGGUUCAGAACGUCGUGAGACAGUUCGGUCCCUAUCUGCCGUGGGCGUAAGAAGAUUGAAGAGAUUUGACCCUAGUACGAGAGGACCGGGUUGAACAAACCACUGGUGUAGCUGUUGUUCUGCCAAGAGCAUCGCAGCGUAGCUAAGUUUGGAAAGGAUAAACGCUGAAAGCAUCUAAGCGUGAAGCCAACUCUAAGAUGAAUCUUCUCUAAGCUCUCUAGAAGACUACUAGUUUGAUAGGCUGGGUGUGUAAUGGAUGAAAGUCCUUUAGCUGACCAGUACUAAUAGAGCGUUUGGCUUAUCUUUAAUAAAGCAU